rnacentral:misc_RNA from 1 species
AACCAUUCUCACCUGCGGCUAGACCUGCGGAAGGAUCAUUACUGAGUAGUUGGGUCUCCAAGGCCCAUACUCCCACCCUUUGUGUACCUUACCAAAUAUUUUAAGUUGCCUUGGUAGGAAUCCUAUCCCCCCUUUCAUUAGGCGGCGUAGGCCUACCAUGGGGACUCUCUUUAAACUCUUAUCAAUUGAGUCGUCUGAGAAAAAAAAUUCAAAUGAAUUAAAACUUUCAACAAUGGAUCU